GAUGAACGCUAGCGGCAGGCCUAAUACAUGCAAGUCGAACGGGAUCAGGGAGCUUGCUCCCUGUGAGAGUGGCGCACGGGUGCGUAACACGUAUGCAACCUACCUUCAACUGGGGGAUAGCCUUCCGAAAGGAAGAUUAAUACCGCAUAACAUAAUUGAAUGGCAUCAUUUGAUUAUCAACCGUAAGGGUUGAAGUUGGGCAUGCGUCCGAUUAGCGAGUUGGUGUGGUAACGGCACACCAAGGCGACGAUCGGUAGGGGAUCUGAGAGGAUGACCCCCCACACUGGUACGGAGACACGGCCCAGACUCCUACGGGAGGCAGCGGUAAGGAAUAUUGGUCCAUUGACGCAAGUCUGAACCAGCCAUGCCGCGUGCAGGAAGACGGUCCUCUGGAUUGUAAACUGCUUUUGUUAGGGAAGAAACCCUCGGAUGCGUCCGGGGCUGACGGUACCUAAAGAAUAAGGAUCGGCUAACUCCGUGCCAGCCGCCGCGGUAA
rnacentral:rRNA from 1 species